rnacentral:rRNA from 1 species
AAACCAGCACCCCAAGUGGUCAGGAGGAUUAUUGGGCCUAAAGCAUCCGUAGCCUGUUCUAUAAGUUUCCGGUUAAAUCCACUAGCUCAACUAGUGGGCUGCCGAAAAUACUGUAGAACUAGGGAGUGGGAGAGGUAGACGGUAUUCGGUAGGAAGGGGUAAAAUCCUUUGAUCUAUUGAGGACCACCUGUGGCGAAGGCGGUCUACCAGAACACGUUCGACGGUGAGGGAUGAAAGCUGGGGGAGCAAACCGGAUUAGAAACCCGAGUAGUCC